UUUUCGUAUGGUUAUUGCUUUCUUUUUACGUGGGAAUGAAUCAUAGAAUGAAAGAAAUUUCCAAUCCUCAAUGGAAGAUAGGGUGGAGAUAGAUGUUGAAUGCUUAUUAAAUAAGGCUCUGUUUAGACAGGCCUCAAUGCCUCCUUCCUUUUCCUCUUACCUUACCGAAAUUGAUUCCUCCUUUUGUAAUUGCUCUCCAUGGGCAGGGGAACUUCAAGGCAAGCAGCUUCACUCAAAUAUCAACGCAAAUAACGAAAGGAGGACAACGAUGAGAAUUCAAUGACCAAGGGAGGGUAUAAAGCACGUAUUAAUAAGUCAGUCCUUCAAGCUAGACGAAGCCACUGCUCGAUCCGAGAUCUGUAAAUGGGAGAACUAGAGAAUCGCAGGAAAGCGACAAAAUAUUCAGAAUAGACCCAGAUCAUCUUUCUUAGCUAGAGGAGAUGAACAUCUUAGGAAAGGAUAUAGAACUUCUACCAUCAACCUAAGUGAUCUUUGGCCAACUAUGGAUUCGUCCAAGCCGGUCUUUUUUUACUCAAGUACAUUUCUGGGCGGAACUCUAAUUGAAAGAUCAACAAUUGGAUCCAUUAAGGCUAAACCAUUGGCAUGUAGAUGCAUAAAUCAGUCUUCAAUGUCAAGAUGACCAUCCCGGGAAAGAGAGAGAGCUAUUGAGAAUGCUAGGCCAGCUUUCCUUAUCAGUCUAUUUUACUACUUCUACUAAGCCAUAACAAGACUUUUGGGACCG
rnacentral:lncRNA from 1 species